GUGUAUCAUCAUCAGCACAUAUGUUAAAAUUGGAAUGAGGCAGAGUAAAUGUGCAUGGCUUCUGUAGGAAAAUGAUGAACACAUCUGUGAAGCAUUUAGUUUUUUU